ACUCAAAUGAAUUGACGGGGAGGCGCACAAGCAGUGGAGCAUGUGGUUUAAUUCGAUACAAAGCGAAAAACCUCACCAGGGUUUGACAUGUAGAUGCAAGCGCACGGAAACGUGUGACCUUCGAGGGUUCUACACAGAUGCUGCAUGGCUGUCGUCAGCUCGUGGCGUGAGCUGUACGGUUAAGUCCGGUAACGAGCGCAACCCACACCGUAUGUUAAAUAAUUCAUGCGGAACUGCCCGUUUUACGGGAGGAAGGAGUGGAUGACGUCAAGUCAGCACGGCUCUUACACCCUGGGCUACACACAUCCUACAAUGGCGAACAACAACGAGCCGCAAGCCGGUAACGGCAAGCUAAUCUCUGAAAUUUCGCCUCAGUUCAGAUUGAGGGCUGCAAUUCGCCCUCAUGAAGUCGGAAUUGCUAGUAAUCGCGAAUCAGCAGGUCGCGGUGAAUACGUUCUCGCCUCUUGUACACACCGCCCGU
rnacentral:rRNA from 1 species